GGAAGGCAGUGUUGGUGCUCAGCUGACUGUGUGUGUGUGUGUGUGUGUGUGUGUGUGUGUGUGUGUGUGUGUGUGUGUGUGUGUGUUUACAAGUUUUUAUAUUCUUAUAGUCCUUGUUAAAUGUGUCAAUAUGAGUUUUUCUUUGAGUUAGAAUAUACAUAUACAGCAUGACAUUACCUAACAGGGUGAAACAAACAUUAACCUUAACUUACAGGAAAGCAUAGUCAGUACAAGCAAAAAGGCAUGUCAAUGGUGAAGGGACCCAGAAAGAAGCACAGCCAAUCAUGUCAUAUAAGGCAAAGAAGCUUCUCCGUUUCCUCACAAGCACCAUGACGUCUUUGCCCCUUACAGAUCCAAAGAAGACGUAAUAAAAAGACAAACAAUAGGGAAAUAAAUAAAUAAAAAAAAAAAAAAAAGGGUAAAACUGCAGACAAUGAAUAAAUAAACAGAGGACAGAAAAAGAGGAAAGGAAGACGAAGAAGAAUGGAUAAAGACAAAGACGUGACGACAAGCAGGUCCAAGGUUUUGUUUGAUAUUACCGAGGAACAUGAAAAAGCUUCCUUGCCAGUUAUGAAAGAAAAUGCUUCCCGACCUGAUCAAUACAGUACUGCACGCCCAAUAGAUAGUGACCGUGUUGACCAAGCCAGAGAUGAUACAAUGAAUGCGUAGCUGCUGUAUGAUGUAAACUGGGCGCGAUGGCUGUAAGUACCGAGGUAAACUGAGGGGAACUUGUGUAUACUGAAUGAAGCUGCUGUAUGUAUUGAGGUAAACUGAGGGAAACUGUUGAAUUUGUUGAGGUAAACUGAAACUGGUGUAUUUGUUGAAGUAAACUGAAACUGGUGUAUUUGUUGAGGUAAACUGAAACUGGUGUAUUUGUUGAGGUAAACUGAAACUGGUGUAUUUGUUGAGGUAAACUGAACGAAACUGGUGUAUUUGUUGAGGUAAACUGAAACUGGUGUAUUUGUUGAGGUAAACUGAAACUGGUGUAUUUGUUGAGGUAAACUGAAACUGGUGUAUUUGUUGAGGUAAACUGAAACUGGUGUAUUUGUUGAGGUAAACUGAAACUGGUGUAUUUGUUGAGGUAAACUGAAACUGGUGUAUUUGUUGAGGUAAACUGAAACUGGUGUAUUUGUUGAGGUAAACUGAAACUGGUGCAUUUGUUGAGGUAAACUGAAACUGGUGUAUUUGUUGAGGUAAACUGAAACUGGUGUAUUUGUUGAGGUAAACUGAAACUGGUGUAUUUGUUGAGGUAAACUGAAACUGGUGUAUUUGUUGAGGUAAACUGAAACUGGUGUAUUUGUUGAGGUAAACUGAAACUGGUGUAUUUGUUGAGGUAAACUGAAACUGGUGUAUUUGUUGAGGUAAACUGAAACUGGUGUAUUUGUUGAGGUAAACUGAAACUGGUGUAUUUGUUGAGGUAAACUGAAACUGGUGUAUUUGUUGAGGUAAACUGAACGAAACUGGUGUAUUUGAAGUAAACUGAGUGUUGCCUGUACAUAUGGUAGCUGAGAGCAAGGUCCUGGUGUGCCAAUGAAGCCUCUGUUCAGUAUUUAAAAACGAGAGGGUAAACAUUCUGAACAGGAGUCUUUCCUUCGCCUUUUUAG